rnacentral:tRNA from 2 species
AUUUAUAUAGUUUAAAUAAAACAUUAUAUUUUCAUUAUAAAAAUAAUAUAAAUU